rnacentral:lncRNA from 1 species
CACUGUUAUGUUCACAGUCUGGUACUUAAAGAAAAACACUGCAAACAGAAGCCAGCCCCGAUCAAACUGGGAGAUGCAGCGUUUCCCUUCCUGCCCUGGUACUGUGGCGAGAACCUGUGGCUUGGUGUUAGUUCAGUCUCUCCGGGAUCUGGCAGGGCUGGAGAGAGGGCUCAGAAGUCAACCCAGGACACUCCUCCAGGGGAUAGAGCUCGGCUCCCUGCACCCACGUGGCAGCUCAUAACCUUUGGAAGCUCGGGUUCUAGGGGACUCGAUGUGUCCUCUACAGGACCUAGGCACGCAUGCGUGCGCAGACAAGUACGGAAGGAAACAGUCAUAUACAUAGGAUGAUGUAAUGAUGAUGAUGGUGACAGAACUUUACAGAAAAAGACUCAAGUAUCAAGACUCUGAAGGGCUGGGCAGAGACAUGGAAUGUACUUAGAAAACACUCCUGCUGCUGACCUAGCCUUGAACUCCAUAGCUCGGCUCUUGAUUUAUGGGCUAAUGAUUCCUACUAUAAAAAGUAAUCCCUGUUAUACUGAAUAAAGCCAGCUGCCCUCAAGG